ACUCAAAUGAAUAGACGGGGGCCCGCACAAGCGGUGGAGCAUGUGGUUUAAUUCGACGCAACGCGAAGAACCUUACCUGGGCUCGAAAUGCAGUGGACCGGGGUAGAAAUAUUCCUUCCCCGCAAGGGGCCGCUGUAUAGGUGCUGCAUGGCUGUCGUCAGCUCGUGUCGUGAGAUGUUGGGUUAAGUCCCGCAACGAGCGCAACCCUUAUUACCAGUUGCCAUCAUUCGGUUGGGCACUCUGGUGAGACCGCCUCGGAUAACGGGGAGGAAGGCGGGGAUGACGUCAAGUCCUCAUGGCCUUUAUGUCCAGGGCUACACACGUGCUACAAUGGCUGAUACAAACCGUCGCAAACCCGCGAGGGGGAGCUAAUCGGAAAAAGUCGGCCUCAGUUCGGAUUGCAGUCUGCAACUCGACUGCAUGAAGCUGGAAUCGCUAGUAAUCGCGGAUCAGAACGCCGCGGUGAAUACGUUCCCGGGCCUUGUACACACCGCCCGU
rnacentral:rRNA from 1 species